AACGAACGCUGGCGGCAGGCCUAACACAUGCAAGUCGAACGCUGUAGCAAUACAGAGUGGCAGACGGGUGAGUAACGCGUGGGAACAUGCCCUUCGGUUCGGAAUAACUCAGGGAAACUUGAGCUAAUACCGGAUACGCCCUUAGGGGGAAAGAUUUAUUGCCGAAGGAUUGGCCCGCGUCCGAUUAGCUAGUUGGUGAGGUAAAGGCUCACCAAGGCGACGAUCGGUAGCUGGUCUGAGAGGAUGAUCAGCCACACUGGGACUGAGACACGGCCCAGACUCCUACGGGAGGCAGCAGUGGGGAAUAUUGGACGAUGGGCGCAAGCCUGAUCCAGCCAUGCCGCGUGAGUGAUGAAGGCCUUAGGGUUGUAAAGCUCUUUCACCGGAGAAGAUAAUGACGGUAUCCGGAGAAGAAGCCCCGGCUAACUUCGUGCCAGCCGCCGCUGUAAAAC
rnacentral:rRNA from 1 species